rnacentral:lncRNA from 1 species
CUAGGGGGUGGUGGUGGGGGACGUCUUGGUGGUGGUGGACGCAGAGUUGGCGGCGGGGGACGUCUUGGCGGUGGUGGUGGUGGACGUCUAGGGGGUGGUGGGGGGGGACGUCUUGGUGGCGGAGGACGCAGCCUUGGCGGCGGGGGACGCCUUGGAGGUGGGGGACGCGGUCUUUGAGCAUCCCCUACCAAAAAGGCAAGAUUCAAACUAAAGAAAAUGAGGAGUAGGAGGAAGGGUUUUAACAUUUUGAAAUGUGUAAUUUAAACAGAUUGUGGUUUGGGGAUUUAUAGGCAGCCGGAUACAUGCAUGCAUGCACAGGAGCUCUCUCUCUGGUAAAUAUGAACGUCUAUCUCUACCGAGUUGAAUUAGCUAGGUCCCCACCACAAAUAUAGAGUAACAUUUUUUUAAUAACACUAUACUCCUACUACUAUAUCAGUGUACGAUACAAAUAACACCAUACUCCUAUUACCAUAUGCCAACUACUCAGUAAGUAAUCUUACUUUCGCAGUCACUUUCACAUUUUAUUGGUUUGAAAUAUGAAUAAUGGCCUGUCGUCAUACUCUGUUGCAGAGCCACGUACGCC